AGACAAGGUGGGUCUGGGGUGGAGCCUGAGAGUCUCCCUUUCUUACAAACCACUAAUUACGCCAAAGCAAGGCCGGCCUGGAACACUGCAUCGCGAGCUUGACUGCACAUUGGAAUCACCUGGGGAGUGUUAAACACUUCUGAUGCCUGGGUCCCAGGCCCAGAGAUGCCAACUUCACUUGUCUGGGAUGUAGCCUGGCUAUCUUUUUUUCCUGAAAUCUCCCCAGGUGGUUACCGGGUGCAGCCUAAGUUGAGAACUACUGUCCCAGAAGGCCGCCUGUUCUGAGGAAUUCUUCCAUCAUCACUAAGCUGCUCUUUAUUAAGCUGGCUCGCCGGCAGGAGUUGAUUGGUAUCAGGUGACUUCUAAGUUAGAGCAGCCUGGUGCCGUGUUACAGCCCUGCUUCAAUUACCUUACCUGGACUCUGGGAGAAGCCAGGUGCCAUGUUGUGAGGACACUGGAGCACCCCUAAGGAGGCCUGUGUUGUGGGAACUGAGGCCUCCUGCCAUCAGCCAGCACCCACUUGCCAGCCAUGUGAAUAAACCAUCUUGGAAGUGGAUCCUCCAGCCCAUUAUGUCCUCAAAUGACAGCAAAUUCAUGAACGACUGUGAGCCAGAACCACCCAGCUAAGUCACUACCAAAUUCUUGACCCACAGAGACUGAGAUAAUACAUAAUAUUUAUUAUUGUUUUAAGCUACUAGGUUUUGGGGGCAUUUUUUACCUAACAAUAGGCAACUAAUAUGGUAGAUG
rnacentral:lncRNA from 1 species